rnacentral:rRNA from 1 species
UAGUCCACGCUGUAAACGAUGUCAACUAGCCGUUGGAGAUCUUAGUAUCUUUAGUGGCGUAGCUAACGCGCUAAGUUGACCGCCUGGGGAGUACGGUCGCAAGAUUAAAACUCAAAUGAAUUGACGGGGGCCCGCACAAGCGGUGGAGCAUGUGGUUUAAUUCGACGCAACGCGAAGAACCUUACCUGGUCUUGACAUCCUACGAACUUUCCAGAGAUGGAUUGGUGCCUUCGGGAACGUAGUGACAGGUGCUGCAUGGCUGUCGUCAGCUCGUGUCGUGAGAUGUUGGGUUAAGUCCCGUAACGAGCGCGACCCUUGUCUUUAGUUGCCAUCAUUAAGUUGGGCACUUUAAAGAGACUGCCGGUGACAAACCGGAGGAAGGUAAGGAUGACGUCAAGUCAGCAUGCCCCUUAUGCUCUGGGCUACACACGUGCUACAAUGGUUAGGACAAAGAGUCGCCAACUUGCAAAAGUGAGCUAAUCUCGUAAACCUAAUCUCAGUUCGGAUCG